rnacentral:rRNA from 1 species
AAAUUGAAGAGUUUGAUCAUGGCUCAGAUUGAACGCUGGCGGCAGGCCUAACACAUGCAAGUCGAGCGGUAGCACAGAGAGCUUGCUCUCAGGUGACGAGCGGCGGACGGGUGAGUAAUGUCUGGGAAACUGCCUGAUGGAGGGGGAUAACUACUGGAAACGGUAGCUAAUACCGCAUAACGUCGCAAGACCAAAGUGGGGGACCUUCGGGCCUCAUGCCAUCAGAUGUGCCCAGAUGGGAUUAGCUAGUAGGUGGGGUAACGGCUCACCUAGGCGACGAUCCCUAGCUGGUCUGAGAGGAUGACCAGCCACACUGGAACUGAGACACGGUCCAGACUCCUACGGGAGGCAGCAGUGGGGAAUAUUGCACAAUGGGCGCAAGCCUGAUGCAGCCAUGCCGCGUGUGUGAAGAAGGCCUUCGGGUUGUAAAGCACUUUCAGCGGGGAGGAAGGCG